GCCGCGCCGGCCGCCACCGAUGCGCUGCCCCGCCGCCGCGCCAUGACCCUGAGCUCGGAGAUGUCCGAGGCGUCGGCGCUGGCUGAGGAGACCGACAUCGAUGUGGUGGGCGAGGAGGACGACGAGGAGGACGACGAGGAGCCGCAGACCCGCCGUCGCCGCCGCUCCUACGCCGAGGACGAGGAGGAGGAGGAGGAGGAAGAGGACGAGGAGGAUGUGGGCGACCUCCACGACGCCGCCCUGCUGCCGCGAUCGUCCGUACGCGGCGGAGGUGGCGGCGGCGGCGGCGGGGCGGGCGGCGGGGACGGUGCCGGCGGCUCUCGGUCCCCCUCGCGGGGUGGCCCCCAGAAGGCGACGGCGAGCGGCGGCGGGGCGGGCGGCGGCGGUGGGGCGGGCGGCGGCGGUAAGAACAGCUUGGUGAAGCCGCCCUACUCCUACAUCGCCCUCAUCACCAUGGCCAUCCUGCAGAGCCCCAAGAAGAGGCUGACGCUGAGUGAGAUCUGCGAGUUCAUCAGCGGGCGCUUCCCCUACUACCGAGAGAAGUUCCCCGCCUGGCAGAAUAGCAUCCGCCACAACCUCUCCCUCAACGACUGCUUCGUCAAGAUUCCCCGGGAGCCCGGCAAUCCUGGCAAGGGCAACUACUGGACGCUGGACCCCGAAUCUGCCGACAUGUUCGACAACGGGAGCUUCCUGCGCCGCCGAAAGCGCUUCAAGCGGCAGCAGCUCCCGGCUCCCGAGCUUCUGCUGCGCGCCGUGGACCCCGCCGCCUUCCUCCCGCAGCCCCCGCCGCAGCCUCCGCAGCAGCCACCCUGCACCUACGGACCCUACGGCUGCGGCUACGGUCUCCAGCUCCAGCCCUACCACCCCCACUCCACUCUCUUCGCCUUCCACCACCCCUCCCCGCCGCCCCGCCAACCGCCCGCCGCCCCUGGCAGCGCCCCCGGUGCGGCGCUGCCCCCCGCCGCCGCCGCGCCGCCGGGCCCCUUGCUGCCGGCGGCGGAGCUGGCACGGACACCCUUCGGCUACGCGCACCCGCUGGGCACGGCGCUGGCGGCCUCGCUGCACUCUGCCAAGCCCGGCAGCGGCGCGGCGCUGGCCCGCUCGCCGUUCUCCAUCGAGAGCAUCAUCGGGGGGGGACCCGGCCCCGGCGCGGGCAGCAGCUGCGCCUCGCAGUCGGCCGCGGCGCCGGGGCUGGCCCGCUCGCUGGGGAGCGCCGGGGGCGGUGUGCCCCCCGCCGCCGCCCUGCCCGCCGCCCCCGGCUUCGCGGCACGGAUCUCUAACUGUUAAGUGUUUGGGAGUCUUUCCGAAGGUAGGAUCUGGGGUAUCUCCUUUCUCCGCCGCUCGGACGCCCGGCGGACGCCGCUCGCAGGGGCUGCCUGUCUUUGCGUGGGGAUAUUGUGACGGGGAUCGGGGGGCGUCCGCCGCGAGCGGCGGACCUCCCGGGACCUGCACGAGUGCAAAGCCAGGUCUAGAUCUAGAUACUGCACGGGCAGGCGGUAACUACAUCGGAAAGUUAUUCGUUACUCCUUAAAAAGUAAAAAAAAAAAAAAAAAAAUGGUGAUAAAUAAUGUCUCUAAACCGUUAAAGUUCAGAGAUUCUCAGGUCUAGGAGCUUGAAAACAGUAAUGUACAGGAAAAAAAAGGCUUGAGGGAGGACAGCAGAGCAAUACUUUUUCAUUUUAGUACACUUGUCUCAUGUACUUUUAUAAAAGAAAAGAUUAACGUGUUUACACAGAAGAAAGUCAAGAUUAUCAUUUCUUAUUUUAACCUGUGUUUUGUAUUAUAAUAGACUUACGGAGUUUUUUAUUUUGUACUUUAUGCUUAUUCUUUACAAGGAAUAUUGUUAAAAAUUACUGGCAAGUAUUGUACCAUUUUAAUGUAAAAUUUUUACACAUUUUCAAAAAUAAAAAUUUUAAUUUUAAAAAAAAAAUCAAAACCAAACCCAAAGACCAAAGGAUUCCAGCCAAAUAAUUGGCUUUGGAUCCUUCCCUCCUUAAUAGUUCUCAUUUCUUUGAGACACUGAUAAUUGUUUUCUUCGGGGUUAAUAGCACAAUAGUCAAGGAAUAUUAUAGCUUGAAAUUCAUUACAUCCGGAUUUAAUCAUAAAGAAGAAGAUCAGAAUAUGGUCUUUGCAGUCAAUGCGUUGUUAACCCUAGCAGAGAAUGAUAGACACCCCCCACAAAGGAAAAAAAAAAACCAAACAAAAAACACAAACAAAAAAACCACCCCAACACAAAACAAACAAAACCAAAAAACCCUAAACAAAAGACUACAAAAAACAUCAGGGACAAAAGAGAAGAUAAAUAGAAAUAGGUCUCUCUGUAAGGCACCAAUCAGGAGAUUGAUUAAAAAGCCGGUUUAAAACUAUUUUUAUACUUUUGGGUGUGUUUUAAAUCACAACUGCAUCACAGUUUUGUUUCCAAGAGGCCCAAAGGAAAAUACUACUACUGACAGGCACGUACUGAACUUAAGACAGAUUUGCCCUAGACACUUAUAUUUCUGUGAUGAUAACAGUGGCCAGUGAUUCUACUUUUCAAUACAUAUAAUAUAAAAUGAGCUUUGGAAUAUCCUUGUGUGAUGAGUUGAUUAAGUGUAUAAGCUGUCGAAUUAAUGAUAUGUAAGUAUAUGGAACAAACCAUGAAAACAGUUUUUCUGAUUCCAAACACUCGUUUUUAACAGCAUAAUGUCAAGAUCUAUUUUAUGGACUAGAAAUUUUUUAACCACAAAGCCGGCCUCAAAUAUUCAGAACUUGGGCAUGGAAAAGAGAAACACAGAUUUUAAGGGUAAGGAUGUGGUUACUUGUUGUGGACUAAGAAUACACGUUUUUCAAACCAGGGAGGCUCUUUUCAAGUACAACUGUAUUUAUAACAAUUGAGGAGACUCGGGGAUCAAUUAUGUGAAUUUUCUUAAUAAAAAGAAUUAUAAAGGGUAGGGGUGCCUUUUAGUGCUCUUUGAAGUGAGGAGGGAAAGGUGGGGUAAAUACAUGCAUUUACAUAUCGAAAUACUUCGUCGCCUUGGCUUUAAGUGUUUUCGUAGAUAGAAAAGUGACGCUUUUCUGUUUGGUUUGUAGCAAGGCAGUGUUAAAUUAGUAGCUUUGAAAAAGCAGAAAGAGUGGACGUAAGAUCUCUGCUCGGCUCCAUUUGCAGUCUGCAACUGGAAGGCUCCUUUGGGUGUCCCGGGUCCAUUAGAAGACGAAGUAGGGUCCGUUUUAAUUUUUGAAACUAAAGGGAAAAUACCCCAGAGACACCGUGUAUGUACCGGUGAUUGCGCGUCUUUUUCACGAGAGACCGAUUAACUCGCUUUCUCCGGGACUGGCCAGGGGAAUGCGCCGGGCCUACGGCCGGUCCAGCGCGGGGUUCCGAGCUCGGCAGAGGCCCCCCUCGGACAGUCGGAUAAAAUCAAGCAGGAAAAGGUUUUGCCGGGGUGAAGGCAGCUGUAGCAACCGAGACCGGCGAUGCCCGGCUCCCCGGGAAGGGACGCUGCCGGCCGUCAGUCUGUAUUCUGGUUUCUCGAGUCCUCGCGCUCUCCACGAGCAGUUACAUGGGAAGAGUAGAUUCCGGCGACCCACCCUGUGUUUGUUUCUGUUGGCUUCCCCGCAGCAGACUCUGGGGAGCCCAGCGACUCCCCUGCGCGGAGCCGGGCCCGGCCCGGCGGGCCGCGGGGUCGAGUGUGCCCGCCGCCUGUCCCUCAGGUCUUGUCAGAGGUGCAUGGCAAGCAAACUGCUUGGCCACUUGUUUCUUCCACGCUUUCCGCCGGUUGCCUUCGUCCCAUACGGACAGGGCCUUCCCUUGCGAGCUGGUAGGGAAGCUGGCAGGAACACUUUGCAGUACGUGGGGUAGGGGAUCGGGGAAGAGGUUUGUGGCGUUGGUGGAGGACCUUUCCGCCUGUUCUCCUCGAGUCGACGGGGAAGCUGCCCGUCCUCGGCCUCGGUUCCGGCGGUCCCUGUUCCCAAGCCGCUGCCCCGGAGCAGGUGCCGCCAGAAAAGACGCCGGCCCCGCAGACUUUUGAUGAGCUCGCAGCACCGCCGGGCCGCAGCGCCUCAUUCGCAUGCUAAUGGCCCGCCGUGGUCUCCACGGCUUUCAAGGCUGGGAGAGAGGACGUGUAGUCCUCGCAAGGACCUAGCCCGGACGAACAAUUCCUCCAAAAUAGUCCGGGCCCUAAUAAACAGUUUGGUAGGACAAGGAGUAUAGUGUCGCCUCCUUCUCCUCCUCCCAGCGGAAAAAGUGUGGAUUCAUUAACCCGUUUCCUUGCUCAUCAUAUCCCAGUAGGGCUGAGACACGAAUUACUGGAUGUGAAUUAGGAGGGGAUUGCUCUAUGAGGGGGCUGAUGUUUCAGUCAGUUCCUCCAGAAGGACCACACAAAAAGAAACUUUUUAGUUUAUGGUGCUAUUAUGCGGAGUUUUAAUCUAGGGAUAGAUUUAGCCAAAUGUUAUCUAUUGGGAAUUUAAUGAAGCCCUUAUGUAUUCAAUCGUCUUUCAUGCCACACACAGUGUCUCUAUCCAGAAACGUUUCCUUCCACAUAUUUCUUUGUUUCUGAUGGGUGAUUUAUAUAUUUUUAAUUAGGUUUUUAAAAAAAUAUUUCUUUUCAAGCAUCUUGUAUAACGUUUCUCUCAAGCAGGACUGUGUUAAGUCCCUUCCCACAUCCCCUAUAAAAGAGGUUUCCCCUUCCCGGUUUCAAAGAUGAUUAGCUUGCACGUCUGCACGCUGUGCCCUUCCUGCCGGAGCAUUCCCGCUGCCUUGUACAGAGGGUCCGGACAUGGUGCCCUCUCGGUCAUCACCGGCGUGGGCUGUGGCGAGCAGCACAGCCCGGGUAUCCGGCCGAGCCCCGAGCCCCCCGUGCACAGAUACCCGGCCCUAAAGUUGCACUCCUCAAAAACCUUCCCCACCCGCAGCUCCCUCGAACCACACCUUUGGUCCUGUUUGUAUUUCUGGUGCCGCGAGAGGCACCCCUGGGGACAGCGAGGUGUCAGCUGGUGCACACCCCGUCUUUGUAGGCUCGUUUCAAGUACCCAGGACCAACUCCAUCCCCGAUUCCGGAGGAUGCAAGUGGGGUGCGAGGCCCUCACCUGCUCUCAGCUGCUCCCUUUCUUUCGGCGCUGGUGGCAAGGGUAAAGCGCACGGUCGCCCCCAUCGAGAGUGAGGCCUCUGCGGGGUAUCUGUUGGAAACUAGAUCUAGUUUAACUGUCCCUUGGCACGGCCCAGAGAUUCCACUCUGUAUGCAAUACUUUCCCGCAGUACUUACAGUAAGUACUGCAGUAGUCUCUGAUAAUAUUGUAUUUGACACAAAUAAUGGAAAUUAUGAUCGUGGCCAAACGCUCCCCGCUCUGGAACUUGCUAACCAAUGUAGAUCCGUUUUUCAGCUUGUUGCCAGUGGCUCCCUCAUCCGCAGCAGUAUUCCUCCCACUUCCCUUGGCACCGGCCACACGCACCAUCGGAAUCCGGGCACGGGCAGGAACCGGCUGCCUUGUGCUCGCAGCCGGGCGCAUCACGAACAGGUAGGUGUCUGCUCGGCCUCCGCCGCCCCUCACCCCCAGGCUCCGAUGAUCUGCCGCAGGUGACUUCAGAGCCUCUACGCCCUUCUCCACAAGUCCUUUCUGCUCUGCAACCCCCACCGUGAGAGCCACGUCGAGCAGCCGCCGUGGGCUCUCUGCUCUCUUCCCGUUCCUGCCCUGCAAGGCACGACCAAGAUGUUUGGGAGACAUUCGCCACAAGUGUGACAACUCUGGUCCCCACCGCCGGCCCCCGCCCGAAGGUGUGCUGUGAACUACCGGCACUGGAGCCACGCCGGACCCCUCCCCGCCGCCCGGCCCAGCUCGCCGCUCAGUUCCCGGCACGCUCCAGAAGAACAGAGGCAAAGGCCGUGGGGCUUGGGGGGUACACACCUCAGCAACCUCAGACCAGCCCGGCUGCAGCAGCAUGGGUGGCACCGAGGGCUGUGCACGACCGCGCAGCGGCGCAGGGCCUCCGCGGCCUCGGCGGUGCUCUGCCCGUGGGAGCGGGGAGGCACCCGGCGGCGUCUCAGCGAGAAUCACCGCAUAAGGCACACAGAAGCUGCACAUUGUAAGAAGAUGGGUUCUAAGCGCAGAGCUCCGGCUCCGCGGACUUUCGCGGCGAGGGACAGAGAGGCACACACUGCGUUCUGCUCCACGGAGGAACCUACCGGCUAGGCCUCGGAGUGCACAAAAACUAGAAAAACAUAUGGACUGGAGCAUACGAAAGGCACUCUUUUUUUUUCCUUUUUCUUUUUUUUUAAGUGCUGAGUCUCGCCAAUUUCAGAAAUUGUACCGCUGAGCUGAAUUCAGAAGGAAAGUUGUGGAUUUUUUUUCAAUCAAAAUAAUUAAACUUGCCCUUCCUCCAAGUCAUAAGA